rnacentral:lncRNA from 1 species
AUGUUUUCCCAUAAGAAUUUCAUAGCACUCAGCCUUACAUUUGGGUCUUUAGUCCAUUUUGGGUUUAUUGUUAUGAACAGUGUUACAGAGUGUUCUACUUUCAUUCUUUCAUGUCUAACUGUCCAGUUUUCCCUUCACCACUCUUUAGAGAUUGUCUUUUCUCCACCGUGUAUUUUUGCCCUUUUGGUCAGAGGGAUGGAUGUGAAUCUGAGUGAACUCUGGGAGUUGGUGAUGGACAGGGAGGCCUGGCGUGAUUUAUGGGAUUGCAAAGAGUCAGAUAUGACUGAGCGACUGAACUGAACUGAACUAGGUGACCAUAGGUGCCUGGGUUUUUCUCUGGACUUUCUGUGCUGCUCCAUUGGUCUCUGUUUCCGUUUUUGUGUGAGUACCAUACUGUUUUGAUGACUGUAGCUUUUUAGUAUAGUCUAACUCAGGGACCCUGAUUCCUCCAGCUCCAUUUUUCUUCCUCACGAUUGCUUUGGCAAUUUGGGCUCUUCUGUGUUUCCAUACAAAUUGUAGACUUGUUUUGUCCUGAUUCUGUGAAAACUGCCAUUGAUAAUUUGAUAGGGCUUGCAUUGAGUUUGUAGAUGGCUUUGAGUAAGACAGUCGUGUUCACAAUGUUCCAUCUUCCGAUCCAAGAACAUGGGAUAUCUCUCCAUCUGGUUUGGUCAUCUUCUAUUUCUUUCCUUGGGAUAUUGUAGUUUCCAGAGGAUAGAUCUUUUGCCUCCUUAGGUAGGUUUAUUCCUCGGUAUUGUAUUCUUUUUAAUGGGGUGGUUAAUGGGAUUGUUUCCUUGAGUUCUUUUCCUACUCUUUCACUGUGGGUGUGUUGGAAUGCAAGAGAUUUCAGUGUAUUGAUUUUGCUCCUGCAACGUUACCAGAUUCGUUGGUGAGCUCUAGUAGUUUUCUGCAGCAUCUUUAGGGUUUUCUGUGUUUAGUGCGAUGUCCUCUGCAAACAAGGACAGUUUCGCCUCUUCUCAAGUUUGGAUUCCAUUUAUUUCUUUUUCUUCUCUGUUUGCUGUGGUGAGGACUUCUAAGACG